GGGGAAUUUGGACAAUGGGCGCCAAGCCUGAUCCAGCCAUGCCGCGUGCAUGAAGAAGGUCUUCGGGUUGUAAACUGCUUUCGUCAGGGAAGAAAUCCCUUGGGCAUCAAUACCUCGGGGGGAUGACGGUACCUGAACAAUAAGCACCGGCUAACUACGUG
rnacentral:rRNA from 1 species